CCACGGGUGGUAAAAUGCCUUCAACUAGCGGCGAGUGAGCGGCAAAAGCUCAAAUUUGAAAUCUGGCGUCUUUGGCGUCCGAGUUGUAAUUUGAAGAAGGUAUCUUUGGGCCCGGCUCUUGUCUAUGUUCCUUGGAACAGGACGUCACAGAGGGUGAGAAUCCCGUGCGAUGAGAUGACCCGGGUCUGUGUAAAGUUCCUUCGACGAGUCGAGUUGUUUGGGAAUGCAGCUCUAAGUGGGUGGUAAAUUCCAUCUAAAGCUAAAUAUUGGCGAGAGACCGAUAGCGAACAAGUACAGUGAUGGAAAGAUGAAAAGAACUUUGAAAAGAGAGUGAAAAAGUACGUGAAAUUGUUGAAAGGGAAGGGCUUGAGAUCAGACUUGGUAUUUUGCAUGCUGCUCUCUCGGGGGCGGCCGCUGCGGUUUACCGGGCCAGCAUCGGUUUGGAGCGGCAGGAUAAUGGCGGAGGAAUGUGGCACGGCUUCUGCUGUGUGUUAUAGCCUCUGACGAUGCUGCCAGCCUAGACCGAGGACUGCGGUUUUUAACCUAGGAUGUUGGCAUAAUGAUCUUAAGUCGCCCGUCUUGAAACACGGACCCA
rnacentral:rRNA from 1 species